AGUGAACGCUGGCGGUAGGCCUAACACAUGCAAGUCGAACGGCAGCACAGUAAGAGCUUGCUCUUACGGGUGGCGAGUGGCGGACGGGUGAGGAAUACAUCGGAAUCUACUUUUUCGUGGGGGAUAACGUAGGGAAACUUACGCUAAUACCGCAUACGACCUACGGGUGAAAGCAGGGGAUCUUCGGACCUUGCGCGAUUGAAUGAGCCGAUGUCGGAUUAGCUAGUUGGCGGGGUAAAGGCCCACCAAGGCGACGAUCCGUAGCUGGUCUGAGAGGAUGAUCAGCCACACUGGAACUGCGACACGGUCCAGACUCCUACGGGAGGCAGCAGUGGGGAAUAUUGGACAAUGGGCGCAAGCCUGAUCCAGCCAUACCGCGUGGGUGAAGAAGGCCUUCGGGUUGUAAAGCCCUUUUGUUGGGAAAGAAAAGCAGCAGGUUAAUACCCCGCUGUUCUGACGGUACCCAAAGAAUAAGCACCGGCUAACUUCG
rnacentral:rRNA from 1 species